AGGUGUUCGAUUUUGAAUUAUCAGAACAGGAUAUGACUGACCUCCUCCACCCGGACAGGAAUCUCCAUUUGUCUACAUUCCCCAUAACUGAAAACCACAAGGACUAUCCCUUCAAAGCAGAGUACUGAGGCCCUCCUUGGCCGGGACAAAUCCUCGCCGAGGCACAGGCAGCUCUGGUCAGGGAUGCUGGGACGCAGUUGGAUUUGGGGACCCCGGCCAUAUCAGGACUGAUCAGGCUAAGUGACAUGGAAUGAAGCAGGUACGUUCUCAUCCUUGAGAUGUCCUCCAAUCAUCAACCCAAAACCAAGAACUCUGGAGCAACCACAGACACUGCUGUUAAUAUUCAUCAUGAAAUGGAUAAUUUGGAUGAUGAGACAGUCUAAAAGGCAGUAACUCUUCUUGUCCGUUCACUCGAUGCCAGUCCCUGGAUGCCAGAUGUUGUACUGUACUACCAUACUUUUCAAGCUGCCUACUGUUCUGCUGGACCACCAGGCUGGACUUCUGAAGUUAUCAAUCCUUUUCACAGCUCCAUUAUCCCCUCUACUUCACUCAGUAAUUAAAAGGUCUUUUGGGUAUAUUUUUGUCAUUUGCAACUCCUGAUGAAUUGACCAGUCCCAGGGGGAUGAGCUGACUGUCCACAGAUGAAAGAGCCAAGUCAAAGUAAAAGCAACAGUCCGUGCCAGUGUCCUUGCUACAGACCUCAACAUCACACUCCACGUGGCUCUCCUGCUGGGGAAUCAAGCAUGAAGUUCAGUCUUCCAAACAGAGAGAAACUUCCAAGUGCCACAUGCCUCUCCCCACAGCACAGUAUUCACAGCCUGACCUGUAAGAGACUCUUUUCACCUCAGACCACCAAAACUCCCUCUAAGAUGAAUCUGGUCUCUCAUUCUCCAGGUCCUUUUUGCCCCCGAGAUUUCUCUGGAUGCUCUACGAUUGGAGGUGGAUGGGGACAACUUGGACAUUAGAAAUUACAGAGAAACUUCAUCACUAAGAAAUUUGCAGCAACAUCUCUGAUACGUGGUAAUCAAGACAACUAGGUUUCACUGAUUCUAACCUACUGUGGAAUGGCUACAACUGGACAGCAAAUGAGAAUAAAGGGAAAAGAUGGACCCACCCCUGAAUUGCUGAAAGAUGAAGAACUUCCAUAUCUCUUGCUAUAGCAUCAGAAUCACUUGCCAGCUCGUUAGAAAUGUGGAUUUUUGAGCCUUAUCCCAGAUCGAAUGAAUCAGAACCUUUGUGGGCAGAACCCCAAAGUCUGCAUUUUAAACAAGAUCCUCAGGUAUUUUCAUGCCUAUUAAAAUUUGAAAAGCACUGACAAUGCACAAAAUAACCUAACCUGGAGAGAAGCAUACUACACAUUAAGAAAGCGUGGUCCAUCUGAAUUUCCCAAAUUCACACAGUGACUGGUUCUGAUCAGAACCCAAGUCUGCUACUCCUCCAUCUCCAAUACCAUUCUGAUUACCUGAGGAGGGGCAGAAGUGCCCAAUCCCAGCAUAGGCAUGAAGCAUCCAUCAUUCAUCUUUAAAGAAAAAAGUCUCAUUUGACUCAUCUUCUCUCACUCUUCUGGCUAA